GCCAGCUGACAGUUACUUUUGGGCGAAUGAUGUCGUGUUUUGGUUUCGGAUAAUUGUAUUAUUUUAUAUUUAAUUUCCCCUGCUAGUUGCUGAUUUGUUGUUUUUAAAUUAUUUAAAUUGUUAAAUCUAUCUAAAGGUGUGGCAUAGUUUAGCUGGACGUCGUAUUGUUUCAGCCCUUCCUACUAGUUUUUGAGCUGUAUGACCUUCUUAUUUUUCACUACUGCGUUGUAGUUGGAAAAAUCACGUUCGUAUCAAUUUCACCAUCGGUUUUCUCUCGGUGGCUUAAAAGUUCGUUUUGUUUUGUUAUUUAAAGCCGUGGGCGGUUUAUUUUUGUAUAGUUAUAUCGUCCGUUUCUCGCAGUCAUCUCGAGGGAAUGGUCAUUUAAAAAGCAUUGUAACUUGGACGGAUAUUCAUUUGGAAGGAUGAUUGAGGAUGAACCGAAUGGCAAUAUCAUUCAAAAUGUGCAAGUUCAUGUAAUACCGAUUACAAUAGAAGGUAGAGAAGUGAGCUCCCCGAACACAUCCCCUCAGAGGUUGUCAUCCUCAAGUUCACCGAGCAACGGCAGAUUUACAAUGCCCGAGCAUAAAAGAAAACAUAAUGAUUUCGAGAAUAAAAAGCUCAACAGAGGAAUAUCAAGAGCGACCGAUAAUGUAAAUAUUGUCUCACAAGCUAGGUCAUCUAUGUUAGAAGAUCAAGAGUACUUUUUAGAAACACCGAUAUACACUUUUGCUCUCCCGGAUAUCAAUACUUUUGACGAGGAGUUUAAAAAGUUUUUAGUAAAAGAUCUAAUUGCCAUUUCAACCCAAUCGUCAUUAGAGCAAGCCAAUCGAUUGAAUUGGUGGACAAACUAUUGUCAGAGGCUUUGGCCUUUAUCGACAAGCGGCGAUGGAAAUUGUCUUCUUCAUGCAGCUUCAUUGGGGAUGUGGGGUUUUCAUGAUAGGCUGUUGACGCUUAGGAAAACGUUGCACUGCUACUUAACCCAGUCUCCUAGGAAAGAAGCACUUUGGAGGCGAUGGAGGAGACAGCAACAUCUUCUCAACGCUCAAGCGGGACUUGUAUAUUCUGAAAUUGAAUGGAGACAAGAAUGGAAUGCAAUUGUUAACAUGGCUUCAUCAGAACCAAGGCUCAGGAGGCUGAGCGUUCAAAGCGAGCCUGGUUCAGAAAGCACUGCAGGAAAUAUUUACGAGAGCCUUGAGGAAAUUCAUGUAUUGGCAUUGGCCCAUGUGCUGAAACGUCCUAUUAUCGUUGUAGCUGAUACAGUGCUAAAAGAUAUGAAUGGUGAUGAUUUAGCACCAAUACCUUUUGGUGGGAUUUACCUCCCACAAGAAUGCAAUCCUGAUGAGUGUUUUCGGUCCCCUCUGCUUUUAGCUUAUGAUGGGGGUCAUUUUUCUGCUCUUGUCUCAAUGGAUUCACCAUCAAGUGCAGCAUCUCCUGCCAUUCCGUUGACUGAUAUGCUCGGUGACCUACUACCCAUUCAAUUCAGCAUUGAUCCUGAUCCAGGAAACAAUGGAAACAAUGAAGGCCAUUUUGUGGAAUUGACUCAUGCCCAGAAUGUAGAAUUGCUCUCCACUUAUUUGAAUCUGAUCAAUAUUGAACCAAACCUUGCCCCGCCGCAAGAAGAGCCGAAAAAUGGCCUUUUGGGAAGUAUCGGCAAGUCAGUCGGCCAAAAGUUAAAGAUGAAACUUUUGAGGAGCAAUUCUCAAAGGCAAUCAAAACCGAUUCUUUGCGCACUCCUCAACCUUGACAAAAGGCAUGAAUACCACGAGGUAAUGAUCAAAAACUAUCUAGACACAGCAAGGGAGAGGUUUCAGUUACAUCUAGAAAACAACAAAGCGAUUUCCCUUAAGUAGGCGAGGUUAAUGCACUGCCAUUUUUUCAGCCUGUAACGUACUAAAAGCUGCUUGCUCUUUUAGUUUGUGGUGUCGGUAAUAUGACAGGAAUAUUCAACUGCUGAAGGAGGUCUGAGGUACAAUGCCGGAAAGUCGAAGUUUUACACAGAAGUCGAUCAAGAGGCACACGAUAAAGUGAGCC
rnacentral:misc_RNA from 1 species